AUGGCCCAUGCUGAAGGCCUCUGGGCUUGGCAUGGAGAACACUCCAUGAAGAUGGGAAUGUCCAGGAGAGCUGAUGAAGGCAGCAUGAAAAUGAACAAUGGAAAAGACACCGUGAAUCUCAUUCCCUUGGAAACACUAAUUGUGGCCUUGGAUCUUCAGCACAGCAUAGCUUGCCCCUCUCGGAGCCCUAACGUGGAUGUCCCAGACACUUGCAGUGAAAGCUGACUGGAGUGAUUUGAGCUCUGAAAUGGAUGUUAACUAGCCUGGCCCGCAUUCCUUGGCUACAAUGGUCAGCCAUUUCAUCAGUGCUUCCUCAGCACCUACAUGAGCAGGGAGACAUCUGGAAAGAGGAGGCCAGGUGUGCGAAAACCCGGCUGGACUGGGCAUCCUGGAUGGCAUAUUUCCACCUGUGUGGCUUUGGAUGAGUUACUUUAUCGCAAACAUCAUGACAACUUCUGCUUCACAAGCUUGUUGUGGAGGUUAAAUAAAGCAAUUAAAAUGAAUACA
rnacentral:lncRNA from 1 species